CUUAUGAAAGCAUGUUUAGCGUUAUCUAAUCUGGUGCCUGUUUCAUCACAGGGGUAGCCAAUAAUGUAAACCUUUGUGUGGAAGGAAGGAGGGAGAGAGCGCCUAGCCGGCCUGGCCGCUCCCUGGUGACCCAGCCCCCACUCUGCCCAAUAGUCAGCCAGGAGUUUUGCCAUCCCGUGACGGUGGCAUUCCAAAGGCCCAACGAGACACACUUUACUUCCAAACUAAACAGCACUGGCUAAUCCGAAUGCAUACCUCCUCAGGUGCCAGCGCGGAGCCUGUGUCUGUGUCUGCUCUGUAUGUAAAUACUGGCGCGCCUCUGCAUUGCCGCAAGGUCCUCAGUCAACCCGCUUCCCCCGAGAGGCUCCGGAAAGGAAGGGACCGUCUUCGACCGGCCUCUGGAGCCCGGACGACCACAGAGGAGACGCGGAGCCGCCCGGGCAGUGGAAAGCAUACAGAGGCUGGAAGAAGCUGCGGUCCCCCGUGCCAACCAAUUCCAUCUCAGAUCGCCUGGGAGCGUCCGACCUCGAGCGAAACUCGCCGCGCUGAGUCAAAUGCUAACUUUUUUUUUUGUGUGUGUGUUGUUCCUUAAGAGGUGCAAACACCCAGCUUUAGCCCAGGGCCCCCGCGGCUGCCUCCCAGAAAAUGAGGGUUGUGAGGCAGACCUCCUUGAGUGCUCGAGGUCCCCAAGGCGCCUGGCUCCAGGGUACAGCGAAGUAUACACUAUGGGGGGCGUCCCAGAACCCGGGCCAGUGGAGACUGCAAGCGGGUUGGGAGAGUCUGAGAAGGGCACCCAGGGAGGCAGAAAGAAAGACUCGCUGUGGCACUGGUGCUUGGGUGUUGGGCAGGUGACCUGGGACCAGCCCUAGGUCUGCAAGGUGCAGUCAUUUUCACUGGCCUGGGCAUCCUGGAUCGUUUGCGGGUCAGUAUCUCUGAACACAGCAUUUCACCGCAAGACUUAUGGUCCAGGUCUUGGAGCGCAAACUUUCCUCUGCGGCCCAGGGAAGGCGCUGGACUUCGCCCCACUGCCGAAGCCAGCUCGCACCCGGCAGUCUCUGAAAAUGCGAAUCUCCCGGGGCUGAGGACCUGCUGGCAUUUUACUGAUGACCAGCGAUACGCCCAGGAAUUAUUCAAAGAAAGGGUUGAAUUAGAGAGACCUCGUUAAGAACGGACGUUCUGCUGUCAAGCCUCCUAGGGAGGAAGUCCAUCGGCAAGUCGCAGCCACCCAGGUGUUGCCCCCACCCCCUGCCUCCUCCCUCUGGUGAAAAGUCACAUUAAUGACAAACUCUACGUGCCGCCUGACAGUUUGAUAACGAAUAACGGGCUUUGACCCCAGGACAUCCUCCCCUCCCGCGGGCUCCGGGUAAGGAAAAAGGCCAAAUGGAGAACUAAGGAAAUUCUCUAAAUAGUUGAAAGACACCUCCAAACGUACUUUGCCCUACUUGUCUGUCGUGGUAGCUUCGUGGGAAGUUUUCCAUACGCACUCCUGGGACAAUUGUCCAUGUCCCAUUUCAUCUUCCAGCGGGGCUGGGGAUGCAGUCUCUACUGACCCCAGCCCCCUAGGAAGCUCUGCAGAAUUGCCCCCUCUCUCAACUCCGGACUGGGCAGGGCCGCUGGGACCAGCACACAGGCGUCCUGACCCUCAGUACCCACUCCUGGGUUUCCAGGGUUAAACUCCGAAGCCAAGAGAAGGAAACUCCCAAAAAACGGGCAAAGGAAUCAUAUAGGUCGGCCUGGACUGAGUGGGGCCUGCCGAGUACCUCCCAGGGAACCCAAGCGGGACAGCUUCACACCCUGCAGGAGUGAGUUUCUGCACUCGGCCCCCAGUCCAAUCCCCAAUCCUUAACUAGAAGACGGAAAAUAGCUUUUCCAGGUUCUGGUGACCCGCCUUGGUGCUGCUGGCCCUUGGCCCCACUCCCCAUUCCUGUGGUGUCACCACGUCCCCAAUCCGGGCAUUCCAGGAGCUCUCGCCACAUCCCGCUGCUUCCCGGUGUUUUUGUGCAGGAGGGGCCCACAGAGGCCUUGUUUUUUAACCAUUACCGUGACGUCAUGCCUCCUUCCCAAAGCUAAGAUCCCUUCGGUGGGCCCAGGGAAUUGUAACCUCUCCUGGCGGGUCAGAGAGGGGAAUGAGGGUCGGCUGCCCCCAGCCACCAUCCCGCCAAACACUCAUUACUGCUGUCGCCUGCGGGGGCUUUCAAGCUGCCAGUACCCAAGGUGUCAAAAAAGAUGCCCAAGGGGUCCUGCGGUAUUUCUUCCAGUCAAGUCACGGGUUGUAGGGGAGGCAGCAGAGUGACUGACUACCCGCGCGACAACAGAAAAGGGGUACCCAAACUCCAACUCGAAAAUGAAAACUUUGGUUUGUACCCCACCCCUCCAGACUGCAUCUUCGAGUUCAAACAACAGCCAGCAACGACAAUAAUAAAACAGUGAGUGCUUGAAAUACAA